AUGGAGUAUCAACCGAUUGUCUCCGUGCUGGAUGUGCGCACGGAGCCUACCACCGUCGACGCCCUCUUCUCUCUUGUGGCCAACUUCGACCAGAGGCUCGAGAUGUUCCAUGGAAACGGAGCCGGCGGCUUCAAAUCUUCUGCAAACUCCAUCUCCCGCGGCGGCGGGCGACAAGGAGGCAACAAGGGCGGCUAUCGCGGCAACCCAAACCAGAAGGGCAACGGUGGCGGUCCUCGUGGUGGCCCUGGCUAUGGCGGCGGUGGCCACCCUAACGGUGGCGGAUCCGGAAGUGGCGGCUCUGGCGGCUACGGUGGAGGUGGCUAUGGUGGCGGCGGCAGCAGCGGCUACCCGAACGGUGGCGCUGGAGGCUACCACCAGAACAACUACGGCGGCGGUGGCGGUUCAUAUCAUGGUGGUGGUGAAGGAGGCUACUAUCACCAGGGGAAUCCCAGCAACAACAACGAUCGGCGCCCCCCCCCCCUCCAACGGCAAUAG
rnacentral:rRNA from 1 species